AAAUGCAUAGAAUUAUUGCUGCGGUUAAAAAGCUCGUAGUUGGAUCUGUGCUAGGGACUCGGUCCACCUUCUGGGUGCGUACUGAGCUCCUUGGCUUGAACUGUCGGUUCGUCCGUUCGUGGCCUUUACUGGAUGCGUUCGGUGGCUGACGAUUUUACUUUGAACAAAUCAGAGUGCUUAAUACAGGCGUUUCGCUUGAAUGUUCUUGCAUGGAAUAAUAGAAAAGGAUUUCGGUUCUAUUUUAUUGGUUUUAUAGACUGAGAUAAUGGUUAACAGAGACAAACGGGGGCAUUCGUAUCGCUGCGUGAGAGGUGAAAUUCUUGGACCGCAGCGAGACGAACUACAG
rnacentral:rRNA from 1 species